GCACAAGCGGUGGAUGAUGUGGAUUAAUUCGAUGCAACGCGAAAACCUUACCUACCCUUGACAUGUCUGGAAUCCGAAGAGAUUUGGGAGUGCUCGCAAGAGAACCGGAACACAGGUGCUGCAUGGCUGUCGUCAGCUCGUGUCGUGAGAUGUUGGGUUAAGUCCCGCAACGAGCGCAACCCUUGUCAUUAGUUGCUACGAAAGGGCACUCUAAUGAGACUGCCGGUGACAAACCGGAGGAAGGUGGGGAUGACGUCAAGUCCUCAUGGCCCUUAUGGGUAGGGCUUCACACGUCAUACAAUGGUCGGGACAGAGGGUCGCCAACCCGCGAGGGGGAGCCAAUCCCAGAAACCCGAUCGUAGUCCGGAUUGUAGUCUGCAACUCGACUACAUGAAGUCGGAAUCGCUAGUAAUCGCGGAUCAGCAUGUCGCGGUGAAUACGUUCCCGGGUCUU
rnacentral:rRNA from 1 species